CCGCAAUCGAAGCAGCAGACAAGCUGCAAAGAGCUCCUUUUCUCCCGCCUCUCAGCUGAUCGGCGGGUGGGCGGGGCUUCCACGGAGGCCUCCGUGUAGGCCGCAGUGAAGCCUGAACUCGAGUAGGGCCCAAGCCAGCCAGGAAGGAGGAGGCAGCCAGAGUGUUCUCUGCAGCAGAAGACCCCUUGCUGCCCUGCUUAACCCAGACCAGCAUUUGCCAGUAAGCAGGUUUGCCAGCCCAGAAGGUGGGAGCACUGCAGCCAACAGUGCCUUGAACUGUCUUUCUUCAAGAAGGAUCGAUCCUCUCCAGAUUCUGUUAGUGACUCAAACAGCGGUCAAGCAUGAGGGAAGGAGUACCUGGAUCCAUGCAUCCCAUUACCAGAAGGUGAUCUCAAGGGAGUCCCCAGAGGACAACAACCCUGACCCAGAUGAAGGACUGGCAGUGUGGCAGGCUAGGCUAACCAUCAGCAGCAGCAGCUGCCCGAAGGAGGUCCCCAUUUGUGUUUCUAGCCCAGCCCAAUGGUGACGGAACGUCCAUCUGCUGCCCUGUCCUGUGUUCAAGGAAGAGGACCUAAUGCAGGGUUCCUGCUCCGGAGGAGACCGAGGAUCCUGAGCCCCAGGGUGCUGUAGGUGAAGAUUAGACAAUGAAUACCUGAAGAGUGCUUGAUAGCUAACAGGCAAAUUUCAAAAUGCUGAAGGGUUCUGUUCUGUAUUUGUUCAUUUUAUAUGUAUAUGCACCAGCCCAAAUGGACAGGACAUGGACCUCACAUGUUUGCUCCCCGGUCACUUCCCUUCUUGCUUCCCUGAUAUCCUGUGCCAGACAUGUAACUGUCCCACCCAGAGCAUCUACCUGUAAGUCUGUACCUUCCCCCAACUUAAUAGUUCCUUUUGCACUCUAAAGACAUCAAGUUUAUUUGAAGCUCCCCAGGCCAGUUCUGGAUGUGAGAAACCUGCUAGCCAAAGCUUUAUCUGCUAAUUUCCUAGGCACCUGUACUUGUUACCUGAUGUGACUGUACAUGAUUCCAUAAAUUAUACUACUUAUCAUUGCCAUCACUUUCCACGAGCUAAUAAUCCAUUAAUCAUCAUGCAACUGUACAUGCUAUUGGUGCUUUAGGACAACUGGAUGUUGUGUAUACCUUCCUGACAACUUUGAUGAAACAUUUGGUCAUGUUCAGAAAAUACAUGUAAAUCCCUUGUAAAUCCUGAGGAGGACUGGGAUGACUUAAGGGUGUCUUGGAACUGGUUAUGGUCAUGGAUCCCCUGAUGUAAGGGGGGUGGCUGAGAAAAUGUGUGAUGGUUUUUGUAAGGAUAAUAGUUUUGCUCAUAUUUGCAGGAUGCUGUGUUCACUGUGUACCCAACAUAUAUGCUACGUGCAGAACCCUGUGUCAGCCUCAGGCUAGACCUGAUGUGGCUCAGUUCAUCGCGCUGCAACAUAUUAGUGAGGCUUGAAGUAUGAUGAAGGUAAUUCAUCAUUCUUAGCCUCAAGGGGGGAUUUUUACCUGUGAGCUAGCCAUAGCCGCGCCAUUUUAGAUGAACUGAGCAAGAGUCUGCUCCAUCCAUUUUGUGUGCUGUUAGUUUCCACGUAGAAACCAUUUCCUCUCUUUCUCACCCUGGCUGUAAAAGCCUUGAAUUUAGCAACAAGAUGUGAAUUGCUGCACCUUCCUGCAGGACAUGCUGAUCACAGGCAGGAAAGUUACUGAUAAGGAUAGCUCACACUAGAGAUGAAGCAAGGGUGUAGCUGGGGGAGAAGGGGCCGUGUUCAUCCCUCUCUCUGGUGGCCCCCCAGAAUGAGGGAGAUAAUGAAGAAAAUAGGAAGGGAUGGAACUGGAGAGUCCUCAGGAGCUGGGGGCUCAUGUUCGUUGAACCCUUUCGCUCAAUUAUAGCUACACCCCUGAGACAAAGUAUUUAUGAUACUAACAAAGAGAGCCAUAGAAUAUUCAAAGACUAACACAGUGAUGUAUACAGGACUACCUGUCAAGCUUGUUGUUGCUGAUCGUGCUAAAACUGUAUCAAUCUGUAUAAAAACCCCUGGCAGCCUCCGUUCGGAGCUGCCCUGAUCUGUGAAGCAAUUCCCAGGGUUUGCCUUUGCUCUGUAGAGACAAAUGCAACUUUGAAAACAGUCUCCGGUUUGGUGAGUGCAAUUGGCUAAGCGCACCAGGCUACAUAAACCUGGAAUUUCGGUAACAGUUGGUCUAAUUCUUUAUAAAGCUGCUUCAUAUGUUCACACAAACUGGGAUACUGGGGAUGAAUGAAUGGUUUUUAGCCUUUAAAACAUGAGGCUAUGGGACUAAGGUUUAGGGGUUUGUUUAAUGGGAUAGUGGUAGCCUGGAAUAAGAAUCAGCUGGCUACCUAAGACUUCAAACUGCAAGUGGUUUUGGACAAGCAUGGAAAGCGUUAGCACUGGCUCCGAAGCAUUUUUAAUAACAGGUCUCUUGUUUUUCAUUUGAGGCGCUCCAACCACCAUACUAGGCUAUUCCUCACAACACAACCCUGUAAGGGAGGUUAGGUUGAGAGAGCCCAACCUGUUGCCCAAUGAGCUUCAGGUUGAAGGUCACUUAAGACAUUGUGUUAUUGGGUGAACACUUAAUUUUUGUAAUGUAUACACCUAAAGGGAUAUAGUCUGAAUGUAAAAAAAAUACCUAUCUGCAAACCAGGAAAGGCUGCAUCUCUUGUUGAGUAUAAACUUGGUGGCAAACCAUUUUCUGUAGAGUAAAAUCUGGACUAUGCCGACUGUGGAGUCUCUUAUUUGAAUGCAAAAUAAUGCGGCUGAUAAUAUUUUACUGAGGAGCCCAAGGCUUGUUUUACUGUAAUAUCUGAAAAGAUGAAAGUACAUUGAUGUUCAAGAGGUUUCCCAUUGGCUCAUAGCUGGUUUUAAUUGCUUAGCAUUGCUCCAAGUUUAUUUGCACUUUAUUUUUACAUUUUUAUCCCGCUCUUCCCCCAAUGAUCCCAGAGUGGUGUACAUGGUUAUGUUUAAGCCCACAACAACCCUGUGAAGUAGGUUAGGCUGAGAGAUAAGUGACUGGCUCAGAGGCACCCAGUGAGUUUCAUUGCUGAAUGGGGAUUUGAACUUUGGGCUUCCUGGUUUCAAAUCUAGUGGUGUAAGUGCAUAGGAAGGCUUUACUGAAUGGACACCCUUCAUGCCAAAGGAGGUUUUUUGUUGUUGUUCUGCUGCAACUGGUGAUCAAUCUCUGUGUUCAAGCUAGAUCACCUUGCAAAGGUGGCAAAUUGCCAUGCGAGCAGAUGGGCUGAAGUAUAAGCAGCCAAGCUGUCACUUAGGAACAUAAAUCAAGCAUUAACGACCAGCAUUGGAACCAAACCCUUGCACUCCCUGAUUGCAGCGCUUAUGGUUUGCAAGUCCCUUCAGUUUGUGUUUUGCAAAAGUUGCAAGCAAAACCUUUGAUGCCCUGCAUAGCUGAGACACCUUUGCAGUGAUUGGGCAAAUCCUGCCUCCAGCAGGAGUGCCUUUGUUCCAGGACAACCUAACUCAGGGCUACUCAACUUGGGGCCCCUUGCAGUUGUUGGCCUAUAACUCCCAUAGUCCCUGGCUAUUGGCCUCCAUGGCUGGGGAUCAUGGGAGUUGUAGUCCAAAAACCUAAUGGUGCAGUGAGGAAAUGCUUGACUAACGAGCAGAAGGUUGCCAGUUUGAAUCCCUGCUGGUACUAUAUUGGGCAGCAGCGAUAUAGGAAGAUGCUGAAAGGCAUCAUCUCUUACUGCGCGGGAGGAGGCAAUGAUAAACCCCUCCUGUAUUCUACCAAAGAAAACCACAGGGCUCUGUGGGUGCCAGGAGUCGAAAUCGACUUGACGGCAAACUUUACCUUUAGUCCAAAAACAGCUGGGGGUGUGUGCAAAGUUGAGGAGGACUGAUUCAAGAGAAUGGCUGCAUUCAGACAUAGCAGGAACUUGCUUAGAACUGCAGUUUGCAGUUAAAAUCCUAAACUGGGGGUUCCAUCACAGACAAUCCUCCAUCCCUGGUUUGGGAAACUCCAAACGCAGGUUAGAGUUCCCCUCUCUCUUCUGGUCCUUGGAGUUUGGUUCCACCCACUUGUAUAGCCAUGCUAUUGACAGGCUAUGGGCCUGGCUUCACAGCUCCAGGCAAUUGCUCACAUUUGGCCAGGAGCUUGGAGAGUGUGUGAUUACUGGCUGUGAUUACAGACUUCAAGCAGUGCUCCCGGCCCUUUCAUUAUAAGACCAGCAGUGCCUGGGCAUGCCUGUUGGCAGGCAGAGGAAGUAGGAAGUGUGCGUGGCAUUUGGUCAGGAAACAUACCAUGGAGUGCUGUUGGUACUGCUCUGAGCUGGCCUCUCACUGGUCGCAGCUGCUGCUUGUAACCACAGUUAUAGCAGUGGAUGCAUGCAGAUAACACAACGGCCCCUUCAAACCAGAGGCGUAUCUAGGGAAAAUAGCACCUAGGGCAAGCACUGAAAUUGCGCCCCUUGUCCAAACAUCUGACACCCAUCUUUCAGAUAACUUUACUAUAAUGUCAGCUGAAAAAUAUAAGUCAAGCUCAUUAAUCUUUUAAUAUUUCAAAAACUAUUUAGCAGUAGACGUAGCCAGACCAAAAAAUGCUGGAAAACUACAAAUUUCAGUAUGCUGGGGCUCAUGAAAUACCCAAAUACUAUGUGGAGGUGUACUUGGAAAACUAAACAGAAGUGCCUGUCUAAUUCUCUACUAUGCAUCUACUAGCAUCACUAUUACAUAAAUUUUAAAAAUAAAUGGAGAAUUUGACUUUUCCCAGAUACUCUGAAAAUAAUUAAAUGAUAUGCAGAGUAAACUGUGUCACUGCUUGGAAUAUAUUCUAGUAUUUCAGAAAGACAGUUAAAAUGAGAGAAAGAGAGCAAGAAACUCCCAGUGGACCUUAAUACUAAGGAUUUCACACUGAUUCAAAGACAAACUCACCAUUAAUAACCAUAUUUUUAAGACACCACAUUUAACUCACUUAUCAUAAGAAGCAAAGUAAGAGCAAAUGAAUACAAUCCUAGCUCAUAAGCUUCAGGCCACUAUUCACAAGCCCUGAUUCUCUGUACAUAGUGCCAAACUGAAUAUGUGUACAGUGACUUAUAUUAUAUUAAAUUAUUAUUUUUUACCUGUAGCCCCUUCGGGGUGCUUCCUAUAGGCUGGGGGGGGUCUGCAAAGGUUACCCCUCCCACUGCUGGCCUCUAGGGCCUCGCAGAGACCAUUUGAGCAUGUGCAGUGGCCAUUUUUUAAAAUAACUGUGGUUUUUUUUAAUGGCCGCUGAAAACAAAAUGGCCACCACUCAUGCUCAAAUGGCCUCUGGGAGGCCUGGCAUAGCCUAGGGCCUCACAGAGGCCAUUUGAGCAUGUGCAGUGGCCAUUUUGGUUUUGGUGGCCAUUUUUAAAAAAAAUAAAUAAAUAAAUUUUAAGAAUUUGCGCCCCCUUCAGGUGGUGCCCAGGGCACGUGCCCUGCCUGCCCUACCCUAGAUAUGCCCUGCUUCAAACAGAGGUUUAGAGCAGUGAAACUGAGCAAUAAUCCCAGGUCCAAAUUCCAGUUUGGGAAGUAAACUGGACCCUGUGGUUUGGUUGUAAAGCUGUGGUUGCAUGCAUUCAGAUAUCACACGAAACUGGAGUUACAGGUUUUCUGGCAACCUGUAACUCCGGUUUCGUGCAAUGUCUGAAUGCAGCCAAGGAGGAAUCAGUCUGUCCAUUAGAACCUGGAGACUUGACACGAAAUCUUCCUUCGUUCUUGGAGUAGGCCAUAAGGGCCUGCUAGUUAGCUUCUUUGUUAGAUAUUGUUUAGUGCGUGUGGUGGUAUUGUAAUUAUUCUCUCCCUGCUCCUUUUCAAAUCCAGUCCCUUAUGCCUAUUUUGGGAACUGCCUCAUUCUUUUCUUAUUUGAUAAAAUAAACCACCUUUUGAUUCCAUAA